CAGAUAACCCAGCUUGAUGUUUCCUUUGUUUUUUCUAACAAUUGAGAAGUACAGCACACAACAAGUAUAGAAAACAUAAAUGUGCAAUUCAGUGCAUUAUUACAAAGUGAACAUCCACAUAACUAUGGCCCAGAAUAAGAAGGAAAGCCUUGCUAGCAUGUCAGAAAAUUCCCUUCCAUUCACCUCCCUCUUCCUUAACAGUACUCUCCUGUCUGAUGCUCCCAGCAUGCUGCUUCCCACCCCCCAACCCCCCAACUCCCGCCCCACGGAAGAUGAGAACUACAGGGGUUGGGUUUGUGGCUCAGUGGUAGAGUGCUUGCCUCACACAUGUUAGGCACUGGGUUUGAUUCUCAGCACCACAUAUAAAUAAAUGAAUAAAAUAAAGGUCCAUUGACAACUAAAAAAAAAUGGGGAAAAAACAAAAAGAUGAGAAUUACAGCAACAACAUAAAGUCCACACUCUUAGCGUGUCAGAUGAGGUCCCUGAAUACUUUGGUCUUUGCAACCUCAUCUUCUGCCCUCGUCACAUCUCAUUCUCAAGUCAUUUUUUUUUAUUGGUUGUUCAAAACAUUACAAAGCUCAUGACAUAUCAUCUUCCAUACAUUUGAUUCAAGUGGGUUAUGAACUCCCAUUUUUUACCCCAAAUACAAGUUGCAGAAUCACAUCGGUUACACAUCCACAUUUUUACAACAGUCAUUAAUAUGGUAUUCUCAAGUCAUUUUGAACCAGUCAAGUUUCACUUUGUAAUUAUCUCCUUAAUUCACUGCUAUGCUGUUUCACUGCCUUUGUGCUUCUGUACUUGCUAAGCAGUGCCUGCACUUCCUGAGUCUUUCUAUUAAAUCCAUCCUUCAAGAGCUGUUCAAUUAUGGCUCUCUUGUAAGACCUUAUGAUAUUCACCCUUCUGCCCCACCCAACAAAGAACCGUUACUUUUUUUUUUUUUAAUGAGUAUCAUUAAUGUGUGCAACUGCUCAUUUAUGUGCUUAUUUCCCUUUCCAGACCAGGAAUUAAGGCAGAUAAUUUUUUUCUUUUGUAAUUCUCUUGUGCAUGCAUACAGGCUUAGUGUGUCUCCCUCAAACUAAUGCUUAAUUGUCGAACUAGUGAAAUCUCCAGGUAAAAAUGUCUUUGGAAAAGAAUCACACUGCAAUCCUAACACCUCUAGGUAUAUUUGGAUCAGAUCAUGUUCUUCCUUGUCAGGAAACAAACUCAAGACAUCAGGAGCACACUAGGUGCCUGUAAAAAGAGGUAAAAGCAAGUGAAGGAAGAGGGAUGGAACACUGUAGAAGGGGGAGGAAAGAGCUAGCAAUGUUGCCCAGAGCUUUGCCAGAGCCCUGCAGGAGGAAGCAUGUAGGAGUGCUCCAGGCAGCACCACAGAGCCCUCCCCCUCCGUGCCCAGAGGACUCCCAGUUGUCAGAUCACUGUGCUGUAUAGACAGCAUGGACUAUUCUAGUUCUUUCAUCUUUUCUUGCCUGUAAUUGUGUUCACUGCCUGCAUCUGCUUCUCUGAGUGUCCAUUCUUGCCCGAGAAAUGCCACCUUAUAAGUCAGUAACCUGCCUAUUUCUUUGACCCUAGCAUCAAAACUCCUACCCAUCCAUAGUAUGUGUGAGUAGGAGUGGAGGGCGACAAUGAGCCACACAGAGGGGCCUUGUGUAACUGCCUGGGUGCUCAGAGGAUCUGAUCAUAAGCAUCUGGGCAGCUAGCCACGGGAAACUUUGCAGCAGUGUCGACAGUCCUUGACGCAAAUGAACUCACUGUUGGGCAGACUGAGAGGUUGGAAGGACAGAAAUAGGAGGAAAAUCUUGAAAUUCAUUAAAGUCCCAAAAGAUACUAUAAAAACUACAAUAUAUAAACAAGUAGUCAAUAAAUUCAAACCCUUUCUAUUAUGAAAGUCUGAAAGAGUCAUCACUGGGGUUUGAUUCCUGGGAUAGGGGGAAGUGGCUUUGGGUCUGGAGAUGACCAGGGUUGGGCUGGAGCCAGCACUCUUGGGUGGGAGAUGUUUGUAUUUGUGAAAUGAAUGCUAAGCCUACAAGCUGCAGUUUUGGAGGAAAUGGGCUCCUCUGUUUUCCCCUAAAGAAACACAGUGGCUUACAGACAGGCUCCACUUUGGUGCAGCCAAACAGGGCAAGAAACAGAGGCAUCAGGAGCUUGCCUAGAGGCCAAUUCUGUCACUGGGUAUAAACACCCAGUGAACAUCAUUUUAUGAACUGUAACAACCCUGGGAGUGCACAGGUUCCUGGAGUAGGAGGAUACUCAAGAAGGAAUACAAGCAGAUACAUGCUUGAAUGAUGAAUCAGGAAAAAAAGACUAUGGCAUCAGAUUAGAGCAGUUCAAGCACGAUAUACACACAUAUAUGUAUAUGACACACGGUAGACUCUUUAAGACAAGUAGUUACAUAGGUUGAAUAUAUACUAAGUACUCAACACACACUUGUUGGAUAAGCUCCUG
rnacentral:lncRNA from 1 species